UUAUACCGCGAAACUGCGAAUGGCUCAUUAUAUAAGUUAUCGUUUAUUUGAUAGCACGUUACUACUUGGAUAACCGUGGUAAUUCUAGAGCUAAUACAUGCUAAAAACCCCGACUUCGGAAGGGGUGUAUUUAUUAGAUUAAAAGCCAACGCCCUUCGGGGCUCUGUGGUGAUUCAUGAUAACUUUUCGAAUCGCAUGGCCUUGCGCCGGCGAUGGUUCAUUCAAAUUUCUUCCCUAUCAACUUUCGAUGCGAGGGUCUUGUCCUCGCAUGGUUGCAACGGGUAACGGAGGGUUAGGGCUCGACCCCGGAGAAGGAGCCUGAGAAACGGCUACUACAUCCAAGGAAGGCAGCAGGCGCGCAAAUUACCCAAUCCCGACACGGGGAGGUAGUGACAAUAAAUACUGAUACAGGGCUCUUUAGGGUCUUGUAAUCGGAAUGAGUACAAUUUAAAUCCCUUAACGAGGAACAAUUGGAGGGCAAGUCUGGUGCCAGCAGCCGCGGUAAUUCCAGCUCCAAUAGCGUAUAUUAAAGUUGUUGUGGUUAAAAAGCUCGUAGUCGAACCUUGGGCCUGGCCGGCCGGUCCCCCUCACCGGGUGCACUGAUCCGGCCGGGCCUUUCCCUCUGUGGAACCCCAUGGCCUUCACUGGCUGUGCGGGGGAAACAGGACUUUUACUGUGAAAAAAUUAGAGUGCUCCAGGCAGGCCUAUGCUCGAAUACAUUAGCAUGGAAUAAUAGAAUAGGACGCGUGGUUCUAUUUUGUUGGUUUCUAGGACCGCCGUAAUGAUUAAUAGGGACAGUCGGGGGCAUCAGUAUUCAAUUGUCAGAGGUGAAAUUCUUGGAUCUAUUGAAGACUAACUACUGCGAAAGCAUUUGCCAAGGAUGUUUUCAUUGAUAAGGAACGAAAGUUAGGGGAUCGAAGACGAUCAGAUACCGUCGUAGUCUUAACUAUAAACUAUGCCGACUAGGGAUCGGACGAUGUUAUUUCUUGACGCGUUCGGCACCUUUCGAGAAAUCAAAGUGCUUGGGCUCCAGGGGA
rnacentral:rRNA from 1 species